rnacentral:rRNA from 1 species
UUUAUCGAGCCAUUUAUGGCGACGGAGAACUGUGGGCUAGACCUAAGAAAAUGUUUUUAGAUAAUAUUGAAAAAGACGGAAAGAUCAUUCCAAGGUUUAAAUUGAUUAAGAAACUUUGAUUUUGUUCUUAGUGUGUAGUGGUAGAGGAGCGUUCCUAUCAGCAGUGAAGUCGAAUCGGAAGGUUCGGUGGAGCGGUAGGAAGUGAGAAUGCUGGAAUGAGUAACCAUAAGAGAGGUGAGAAUCCUCUCGGCCGUAAGAGCAAGGUUUCCUGAGCCAUGGUAAUCAUCUCAGGGUUAGUCGGGCCUAAGCCGAGGCGCAGAGCGUAGGCGAUGGACAUCAGGUUAAUAUUCCUGAACCGGUUAAGUUUUGUACACUGUUCACGGGGAAGUAAUCGAAGCGGAUUCAUGGUUUAUCCGUCCAACCGAGCGGGAACGCAAAGGGAGUGAAAGUGAUUCUUCGGAGUCGCGAUUUUGGUGAAAGCCCUGGCUAGAAAAGCAGGUGUACGCGUGGACUUAGCCGCCCGUACCGCAAACCAACACAGGUGCUCGAGUCGAGUAGACUCAGGCUUACGAGCGAACCUUCGCUAAGGAACUCGGCAAUACAGCGACCGUAACUUCGGGAUAAGGUCUGCCCCCACUUCGGUGGAUAUCAGCCGCGUUCACUCAGUGAAUAUUAGGUUAAAGAGUACAUUUUUAAUCACAAAACGAAUUUUCUGAGAUAGAGCAAACGAAUUGUUCUUUUGAACGCGAACCUCUGACGUCUAACGAUGUGGGGGCCGCAGCAAAAGAGCCCACGGAACUGUUUAUCAAAAACACAGGUCUCUGCUAACACGAAAGUGGAUGUAUAGGGGCUGACUCCUGCCCAAUGCUGGAAGGUUAAGGGGAGCGCUUCACGGUGCGAACUGAAGCCCUAGUCAAUGGCGGCGGUAACUAUAACCGUCCUAAGGUAGCGAAAUUCCUUGUCAGGUAAGUUCUGACCCGCACGAAUGGAGUAAUCAUGUGGGCACUGUCUCAGCGAAGGACUCGGUGAAAGUGCAUUGGCGGUAAAGAUGCCGUCUGUCCGUACCAGGACGAAAAGACCCCAUGGAGCUUUACUACAGCUUUACAUUGAAUAUGGUUUCAACAUGUGUAGCAUAGGUGGGAGACUUUGAAGCAGAUACGCCAGUAUUUGUGGAGUCACCAAGUGAAAUACCACCCUUGUUGUGAUUGUGUUCUCACGCUGACCGUUAUCCGGUUAGCGGACCGUGUAUGGUGGGUAGUUUAACUGGGGCGGUUGCCUCCUAAAGAGUAGCGAGGCGUUCAAAGGUUGGCUAACUUCGGAUGGAAAUCGAAGUGAUAGUGUAUGCGCAUAAGCCAGCUUGACUGUGAGGAGUACAUUCCAAUCAGAGACGAAAGUCGGAGCAAGUGAUCCGCUGUACGUACAUUUGUACAUGAAUGUGGGAUCGACAGCGCAAACGGAUAAAAGUUACCCUGGGGAUAACAGGCUUAUCGCGCCCAAUAGUUCACAUAGACGGCGCGGUUUGGCACCUCGAUGUCGGCUCAUCACAUCCUGGAGGGGGAGCACCUUCCAAGGGUCCGGCUGUUCGCCGGUUAAAGUGGUACGCGCGCUGGGUUCAGAACGUCGUGAGACAGUUCGGUUUAUAUCCGGUAUGGACGAUAGGAAACUUGAGAGGAUCUACCCCUAGUACGAGAGGACCGGGGCGGACGCACCUCUGGUGUAUCGAUUGUGGCCACCUGCUGCAUUGUCGAGUAGCUAUGUGCGGACUAGAUAAGCGCUGAAAGCAUAUUAAGCGCGAAACUAACCUCAAGAUAAGGUUUCCCUAUGAGGACACAGAAAGACUAUCUGUUUGAUAGGCGCAAGGUGGAAGUACAGUAAUGUAUGGAGCUAAAGCGUACUAAUAGUCCCAUUGCCUUUUUAUG